UCCUACGGGAGGCAGCAGUGAGGAAUCUUGCGCAAUGGGCGAAAGCCUGACGCAGCCACGCCGCGUGCCGGAUGAAGGCCCUAUGGGUUGUAAACGGCUUUUAAGCGGGAAGAACGACCGGAUUUCGAUCUGGUGUGACGGUACUGCUUGAAUAAGCACCGGCUAACUCCGUGCCAGCAGCCGCGGUAAUACGGAGGGUGCAAGCGUUGUCCGGAAUCAUUGGGUGUAAAGGGUGCGUAGGCGGGCGUCUAAGUCUGGGGUGAAAUCUUGCCGCUUAACGGUAAAAUGGCCUUGGAUACUGGGCGUCUUGAGUGUAGAAGAGGUAAGUGGAAUUCGUAGUGUAGCGGUGAAAUGCAUAGAUAUUACGAAGAACAUCAGUGGCGAAGGCGGCUUACUGGUCUACAACUGACGCUGAGGCACGAAAGCGUGGGGAGCGAACAGGAUUAGAUACCCUGGUAGUCCACGCUGUAAACGAUGCAUACUAGGUGUUGGCCUUUCGGGGCCAGUGCUGCAGUUAACGCAUUAAGUAUGCCACCUGGGGAGUACGUCGGCAACGAUGAAACUCAAAUGAAUUGACGG
rnacentral:rRNA from 1 species